CCGAGUUUACAACUCCCAAACCCCUGUGAACAUACCACUUGUUGCCUCGGCGGAUCAGCCCGCUCCCGGUAAAACGGGACGGCCCGCCAGAGGACCCCUAAAACUCUGUUUCUAUAUGUAACUUCUGAGUAAAACCAUAAAUAAAUCA
rnacentral:misc_RNA from 1 species